rnacentral:lncRNA from 1 species
UUCUUUUAUCCAAACAAAUUAACACCAAUGCACUGACAGUGGCAUACACAUUGGGUACAAGCUUCUGGAAAUCCAGGAUUCCUGGGUCAUAUCUCCAUAACACAGUUGCAGAGGAGGAGAUAAUGAUGUCCACCCAGUACACGACUACAAAGAAACUCACCAACAACAGGAUAGUCUGGGUGGCCUUCUCUCUGGGGAGACCCUCGAGGAGAGGCUGGAGCUGUGUAGCUGCUGGCACUGCCUCUGAUGCCUGGACAAGAGAAUCACCAUAUAUGCACUAGAGAGCAGCGUGGCGCCUAUAAAGAAAACAUCCCUGGGUAAUGUCAAAAUGAGAAGCCGUCCCCUGAUGAUGGAGUGUGUGGGGGAAACCGAGCAGUAUUUAC